GGCAGCUCACUAUGCUGAUACUGACCUUGUGGCACGAAUGCUUGUGGACUGAACAGGAUUAGAUACCCUGGUAGUCCACGCUGUAAACGAUGAUCACUCGCUGUUGGCAAUACAUCGUCAUCGUCUGAGCGUAAGCAUUAAGUGAUCCACCUGGGGAGUGCGUCGGCAAUGAUGAAACUCAAAGGAAUUUACGGGGUCCCGCACAAGCGGUGGAACAUGUGGUUUAAUUCGAUGAUACGCGAGGAACCUUACCUGGGCUUAUAUGCAGAACGACGGUUCCCGAAAGGGAUCCUUCUUCGGACGGACUGCAAGGUGCUGCAUGGUUGCCGUCAGCUCGUGCCGUGAGGUGUCGGGUUAAGUCCCAUAACGAGCGCAACCCCUAUUGUUAGUUGCCAGCGAGUAAUGUCGGGGACUCUAACGAAACUGCCGGUGUAAACCGAGAGGAAGGUGGGGAUGACGUCAAAUCAGCACGGCCCUUAUGUCCAGGGCUACACACGUGUUACAAUGGUCGAUACAGAGAGAAGCUACUUGGCGACAAGAUGCUAAUCUCGAAAAUCGUUCUUAGUUCGGAUUGGAGUCUGCAACUCGACUUCAUGAAGCUGGAAUCGCUAGUAAUCGCACAUCAGCCAUGGUGCGGUGAAUACGUUCCCGGGCAUUGUACACACCGCCCGUCAAGCCAUGGAAGCCGGGGGUACCUAUAGUCCGUAACCGAAGGGAGC
rnacentral:rRNA from 1 species